AUCACCCAACCAAGGAGUAAGAACGUUUUAAGCUGAUAUUGUGUUUAAAAGGAGAAAAAGAAGGCUGUAUGGACCAUGUGUUACUCACACACUGAGCUGAGUGUUGCUCCUGAAAUUACAACAUCAUGGUUUACUUUCUGCUUGUUGUCUUUGGACUUUUGUCCUUUACAUCAAGCCAAAUAUCUCACCAGUAUCACUUCAUAAAUAUCAGAAAGAACUGGACUGA